GGGCUUCCAAUUUCGGGCGCGCCUUCCUAUAUUCGCCCCUGCCGGCUCGUCCGGCUAUGGCGAUAAACAGGCGAUGGAAUAAGCCGUUCGGACCCGGGGGCGGUACCCGGCGCCUCCACCAAAAGCCGCCGCGAGGGACGGCUUCUGAUGGGGGCGAAACAGGAUCGACGAAGGUGUAAAGAUCGUUCUUUUGCCCGGCAUUGUACCGCCGUUAUCGGGCUAAAAUUAUAGUUGCCAACGACAACUAUGCUGAGGCACGUCUCGCUGCUUAAUGCGGCGCGAUAGUCUCGAAUCAAGCCCUGUGGGUUAGCACCUACAGGCGGGGUCCGGAGGCACCUGGCAACAGAAGCCUCCACU
rnacentral:tmRNA from 1 species